rnacentral:rRNA from 1 species
GACGGAGGAUGCAAGCGUUAUCCGGAAUGAUUGGGCGUAAAGCGUCCGCAGGUGGCAGUUCAAGUCUGCUGUCAAAGACCGGGGCUUAACUUCGGAAAGGCAGUGGAAACUGAACAGCUAGAGUAUGGUAGGGGCAGAGGGAAUUCCUGGUGUAGCGGUGAAAUGCGUAGAGAUCAGGAAGAACACCGGUGGCGAAAGCGCUCUGCUAGGCCGCAACUGACACUCAUGGACGAAAGCUAGGGGAGCGAAUGGG